UACAGAAGGGGCAAGCGUUAUUCGGAAUUAUUGGGCGUAAAGGGCGCGUAGGCGGCUUGGCAAGUGGAUGAUGAAAUCCCUCGGCUUAACCGAGGAACUGCCGUCCAAACUGCUUCGCUUGAGACCGGGAGAGGUGAGUGGAAUUCCCAGUGUAGCGGUGAAAUGCGUAGAUAUUGGGAGGAACACCAGUGGCGAAGGCGGCUCACUGGACCGGUACUGACGCUGAUGCGCGAAAGCGUGGGGAGCAAACGGG
rnacentral:rRNA from 1 species